rnacentral:rRNA from 1 species
AUUGAACGCUGGCGGCAUGCCUUACACAUGCAAGUCGAACGGUAACAGGUCUUCGGAUGCUGACGAGUGGCGAACGGGUGAGUAAUACAUCGGAACGUGCCUAGUAGUGGGGGAUAACUACUCGAAAGAGUGGCUAAUACCGCAUGAGAUCUACGGAUGAAAGCAGGGGAUCGCAAGACCUUGUGCUACUAGAGCGGCCGAUGGCAGAUGAGGUAGUUGGUGGGAUAAAAGCUUACCAAGCCGACGAUCUGUAGCUGGUCUGAGAGGACGAUCAGCCACACUGGGACUGAGACACGGCCCAGACUCCUACGGGAGGCAGCAGUGGGGAAUUUUGGACAAUGGGCGCAAGCCUGAUCCAGCAAUGCCGCGUGCAGGAUGAAGGCCUUCGGGUUGUAAACUGCUUUUGUACGGAACGAAAAGCCCUGGGUUAAUAUCCUGGGGUCAUGACGGUACCGUAAGAAUAAGCACCGGAUAACUACGUGCCAGCCGCCGCCGUAAAAC